CCUACGGGUGGCAGCAGUGAGGAAUAUUGCACAAUGGGCGCAAGCCUGAACCAGCGAUGCCGCGUGAACGAAGAAGUACUUCGGUAUGUAAAGCUCUAUCAGCAGGGAAGAAAAUGGCGGUACGUAAAUAACAAGCCAUGGAUAUUUACUGUCCAGCAGACCCGGGUAUACGGCGGGGGCAAGCGUUAUACGGAUAUACUGGGUGUAAAGGGAGCGUAGGCGGGAGCGCAAGGCUGUAGUGAAAUGGUAUGGGUUAACCGUGUAAAUGCUUUGGAAACUGUGCAGCUGGAGUGCAGGAGAGGUAGGCGGAAUUCCUAGUGUAGCGGUGAAAUGCGUAGAUAUUAGGAAGAACACCAGUGGCGAAGGCGGCCUACUGGACUGUAACUGACGUUGAGGCUCGAAAGCGUGGGGAGCAAACAGGAUUAGAUACCCGUGUAGUC
rnacentral:rRNA from 1 species